ACGGUUCCAGCAUCUAAUGGCAACACACAUCAGGCGCCUGUUGCCCCCACGGUACAAGGAAAUCCCUAUCCUUCUCAGCCUUAUCCUGGAAAUCCAGGGAUGGGGUCCUAUAACAGCUAUGUUGUUCCAUGGGCGCAAGCACAACCUCAAUCUCAACUCCAACAGCCACAGUUCCAACCUCAAUCACAAUUUCAACCUCAGCCUCAAUUCCAGUCACAAUUUCAUCCUCAAUAUCCUCAAUACUCGUCUGCCUACCCUCCCCCACCAUGGGCAGCUUCACCGGGAUAUUCUAACCAAAAUCAUUUUUCCACCAAUAAUACAUCGACU
rnacentral:lncRNA from 1 species